GAUGAACGCUGGCGGCGUGCUUAACACAUGCAAGUCGAACGGAUUUAACAGAAAGCUUGCUUUCGGUUAAAUUAGUGGCGGACGGGUGAGUAACGCGUGGAUAACCUGCCGUAUACAGGGGGAUAACACUUAGAAAUAGGUGCUAAUACCGCAUAAGCGCACAGUUUCGCAUGAGACAGUGUGAAAAACUCCGGUGGUAUACGAUGGAUCCGCGUCUGAUUAGGUAGUUGGUGGGGUAACGGCCCACCAAGCCGACGAUCAGUAGCCGGCCUGAGAGGGUGAACGGCCACAUUGGGACUGAGACACGGCCCAAACUCCUACGGGAGGCAGCAGUGGGGAAUAUUGCACAAUGGGGGAAACCCUGAUGCAGCGACGCCGCGUGAGUGAAGAAGUAUUUCGGUACGUAAAGCUCUAUCAGCAAGGAAGAAAAAAGACGGUACUUGACUAAGAAGCCCCGGCUAACUACGUG
rnacentral:rRNA from 1 species